GGGCGGUUAGCUCAGUUGGUUAGAGUACUACCUUGACAUGGUAGGGGUCACAGGUUCGAGUCCUGUACCGCCCA
rnacentral:tRNA from 1 species